GACGCUCGACCUUGUGCGUGAUCUGGCUCAAACUUGAGCCAACACACUACGCUUGGGAGGCGCGCUCACGUGGGCGGUCGUUGACCCUCCAGUGGUAGCCACCCACCUGCCUCGGCAGGUUCAAGCGCCCGUCAGACACGGCAAGGUGGAGCAUUA
rnacentral:other from 1 species